rnacentral:piRNA from 1 species
GUGCUCAGUGGGCUCACAGUUCCAAC